UACGUAGGGUGCGAGCGUUAAUCGGAAUUACUGGGCGUAAAGCGUGCGCAGGCGGCGCGUUAAGACAGGUGUGAAAGCCCCGAGCUUAACUUGGGAAUUGCGCUUGUGACUGGCGUGCUGGAGUGUGGCAGAGGGAGGUGGAAUUCCACGUGUAGCAGUGAAGUGCGUAGAUAUGCGGAGGAACACCGAUGGCGAAGGCAAUCCCCUGGGCCUGCACUGACGCUCAUGCACGAAAGCGUGGGGAGCAAACAGG
rnacentral:rRNA from 1 species